CCGGCUCCAAUCAGCGUGCGGCUCUCUCGACCCCGCCUUCUUAGGACUCGCGUGGUGCGACCUGACGCUGACACCUCUGCACCAAACCAGCUUCCGUCUGUGCCCACCGGGUGGUCUCUGCCAGGCAGAAUUGGCCAUCAAAGGAUAGGGUCUUUGCCUCGCACGGUUCGCUAAAGGGGGAGAGGAAAUUCUCAGUGGGGAAGGGCAUUUUUAUAUUAAGGGGAUCUUUACUGAAGGCUGCAAUAUGAAAGAGACACUCAAUGCUCGCUGUGAAAACAAUACAAAGAAAUUUUACCUGGAAGCGUUGGUGCAAAAUCUCCAAUUCUGCGGCGUCGUGGACGUGCUUAGCGAUUGUGACUCAUACUCCAAGUUCUAAGGAAGGAACAAUAAAGCAUAUGCUAAGGAGAGAUGUGCAGGCCCCCCAAGACAACUGUGACUCAGCAACAAUACCCUGUUUGGGUGUUCAAACCCAAUACACAGCGUUAGGGGCUGCGUUUGUCUGGCAGGAUUAGCUCCAAGUUGCUACAUUGUUCUAGGUGCCCUUGGAUGCAUGUCUGCAUUCUCCUGAAUCUCUAAAGAGCUGUGUUGCUAGCAACUUUUAUUAGCUUUGCUUUACUCUAGAGGGUACCAUUGGUGAAUAUUUGGUAUGGCACAGGCCUACUGUGAGAGGUAAAGUAUAAAUUUAUCAUCAAGGACUGCACAUUCCCUGAGAGGUCAAAGCUUCUUGGAACCAGGUCUGCUCAGCUCUGAUGGCAAAGGACGGAGCCGAAGCACAGUCAGGACUUUUCGUGAGAGGACUAUGCAGGGCUCACACACCGCUGCUGUGUGCGUUCUUGCCCCUGUUUCCCAGACACCGAUCCCAUCAGGGUGAAGGGAAAGGAAGUGUCCACCCAGAACUCCUCCUAACUUUACUCCUUUUGGCAGCUUCUCUUGUUUUAUCUUCUCUCUGUGGAAUAACCUUUAGAACAGGCUAACGUCAAUCCCGGAACUCCCUGCCUAAAAGGAGUUUGGAUAAGUCAGUUGAAAUGCAUUUGAGUCUCAAGAAACAGAAGGCUCAGACAGUUGCCACCACUGUGAAGACUUGCCAUCUCACAUGAAAAGUAACUUGGGACAAUGACCCGCAGGAGGCGAUGGGCCACUUCCUCUUUCAGGACAGAAACCUCACCUUGUAAUAGACAUCAAACAUCAGGUCGCUGCCUGCAGCAAGAGCUUUGUCAGCUACACACAACUGUGAGCUCCAACCACCACACGGCACGGACCUGAGCCCUCUGUUCUCUGAAGCUCUGAGUCUUUGACCAUUGAUGUCUUAUUGCCCCAGACGGCUUCAUCUGCUCUCACUGUUUCAAGCCCUUCCCACACAGUCUGUGGCUGCCUCCUGUGUGCACAGGAGGUUAGACACACAGCCAGACAUGCACCCCAUGGGGGAAACUCCAGCUCUGAUGCUCUGAGCUAGGUGAUCUCAGGCCAAAAUUUUAAAUUCUAUCAGCAAAGCAAUUGAUUCUUCUGUAAAAGAGUAAACGCAAGUUUA
rnacentral:lncRNA from 1 species